CUUUUAUUUAUUAAAUGUUGACAAAAUGUACCUUUGUCAUAAUAGUUUUAAAACAAAUUAUAAGUUUUUACUGUACCUCGUUUUAGCAGAUUUUUCAACUGAAAACAAAUUUGCAAUCAGAACCUGAAGAAUCAAAGUGGAUGAGAAUGCAAGUGUUGCCAGUCAUUGAAAUUAUAUAGUAGUAUAGAGUAUUAUAGAGAGUAUUAUAGUUACAAAAAGGCAUUUAUUCUUUCAGUAAAAUCUCACUAAAAUUAAAACCAUCCCUUACAGUAUAUGACUGAGGUCUGCAGAGGCAUAUUGUAUGAGCAGAGGCAAUAACACAUUCUCUCUCUACUCUGAUUUUCAUGUCUCCAGUUUGUCUAGAACACUGAAGGGAGGGAGGGACGGGGACACAUAUGCCAGUCUGCAGCUCCCCAACAUCAGCCCUGAAUAUGACGUGCUGCAGGUAAAAAACAAGCAUCAGGAAGACCCUGGGACUUCACAAGAAGAGAACAAUUACUACCAGAACCCUGGAGAUGGAAAUUGAGACCAACUGCAGCUCAUUAAAAAUGUGAUCAUGUUGUGUUUUCUGAAAAGCUAUUGUUUAAAGAAAACAACUGAAUGCAGUGUCACUUUUAUUUUGUAUGUUCAAGAGGGAUUUUCUUCAGAUUUAUCUUUUUUAUUUGAUAUUUAUCCUGGCAGAAAUUUUUUGUUUUAUCCAUUCUGAUUUUUAAUCAUCUUUACAGAAUAUUUUUUGUUCAUUGUCCAUUUCCGACAUCUUCACUGAAUUCACUCAUUUCUGAGAAAUAGAAAUUCAUUUUCCAUCCCAAUGAAUUUUCAACAAUUGCUGUUGUGGGACAGAUUGACAGUAAAUUUUAAGUAAACCAAAUGUUUUUUUUUUAUUCUUUAUUCUUUAAACUCAAAAAUGGAAGAAAAAAAAUGAUGGACUCUAUACUAUAUAUUAUACAGUAUAAUAUACACUAUUGCAUGGAUAUUUUAAACCUGAAUUUUGAUGUUUCUCAAUUUAAUGGGUUGACGGUGUGUAUGAAGGAAGUAUUAAACCAUCGACCACUGUGUUUGA